AAGUAGGUCAUUCCCGAUAGUUCGUCCAAAUAUGGUGACGCAAGGUACUCUGGUUCCAAUACCAUGGGUAUGUCGAAUUCGCGCUUCGAGAUCUCCAUCGCUUUUCGGCAAUUGUACACGCUGCGAACGGAAGGAAUUAAAUGGUACAGGGAGCCUAAUUUAUAUUAAAUCGAUUUCUCGAUUAUACCUAUCGCUGGAAUCAAGUUGGCGCCAGUGACUGAAUAGACCCGGUUGGCAAUAAUCGAGCAACGCGCUCAGGUACACGCCGGAGUUCCAGUCCGUCGUGAAAUUGUUCACCCUGCAUUCCGGCAAGACUGCCUGUAAAAGAACAGACAAAGUUCCUUUCGAUGCGCGAGACGCGUAAAUGCACGGAGGGCCUUAUCGUCGAUGCAUCGGUUUGGCGCUCGCUGGUUGGAAAUGAAAUUAGUCGGCAGCUACACGAGUAUAAUCGUAAUGGGGCUCAACAGCCUCGUAGGUGCCGAUAGAGCGCAAGAAAGGCAACGACCUCGAGGUACGAUUUGCAAGCCGUGACGUAACAACUAUGGUUUUUAUAAUGAGAGAUAACUGAAACGCGUACUCGAACUAAAUACAAUACACUUACUGCGACGUUACGCCUUCAUCGGGUAUGAGACAUAUCCGAACAAAAGAAAGAACGACGAAAAAAGAACAUUUGUAAAUUUAAUCGGACUCUAUAGACAACGAGGCGAGCUAAUAACAGGUCUUCAUUGUUACGAGCUUCUAUGCAUUAUGGAAUUAAAUAUAGAGCGAGGAACAAAGAAAAUUACCGUGUGUACGUCUCG